CCUACGGGUGGCAGCAGUGAGGAAUAUUGGUCAAUGGCCGCAGGGCUGAACCAGCCAAGUCGCGUGAGGGAGGAAGGGAAGAGGGAGGGGAAAACUAGGUUGUCAGGGAGCAAAGGGCGCCACGUGUGGCGCUUUGCGAGUACCUGAAGAAAAAGCAUCGGCUAACUCCGUGCCAGCAGCCGCGGUAAUACGGAGGAUGCGAGCGUUAUCCGGAUUUAUUGGGUUUAAAGGGUGCGCAGGCGGAAUGUCAAGUCAGCGGUAAAAUUUCGGGGCUCAACCCCGUCGUGCCGUUGAAACUGGCGUUCUUGAGUGAGCGAGAAGUAUGCGGAAUGCGUGGUGUAGCGGUGAAAUGCAUAGAUAUCACGCAGAACUCCGAUUGCGAAGGCAGCAUACCGGCGCUCAACUGACGCUCAUGCACGAAAGCGUGGGUAUCGAACAGGAUUAGAUACCGAGUAGUC
rnacentral:rRNA from 1 species